rnacentral:tRNA from 1 species
GUCACAGUUGCCUAAUGGAAAGGCAUCAUUCUUCUAAAUUGACUUAUGUGGGUUCGAAUCCCGCCUGUGAUA